GAGGGAGUAAGUUUGCAACCGGUUGCAAGACAGAAAAAUAACUCCCGCGGAGCCAAACAUUACAACCUAAAAAGCAACUACAACAACAUCCUAUAAAUCAACUCAAAAUUCAAAAUCAAUUAAAUUAGUGAAAAUUUUAAUUAAAAAAAUGGGGAAAUUAAAUUUUAAAUCACAAUAACACAAGUGUAGAACUUUAAUAAAAAAAUAAAACUCAAUCGACGAUCUCUACAUCAACAAAGCAACGGCGGCGAACAAUGCGAAGUUAGAUCCGGGACGGUAACUCUGUUCAUACCAGCAGCGUUGUCCGGAAUACCGGCCGGAGCACCGCCGGGAGUGGAGAUCGAGGACGGAGUAAGAACGCUAGUGGGAGAUACACCUGGAGCAGAAGUUGGAGGCGCAUGAGAAUAGGGAGAGGUAGGAGAAUUCGUCGGCGAGGGGAUGGGUGGGGACGAGCGGUGGGUGGUGGGGGAGUAGAGAGGGUUUGAAGAGUAAGAAGAUUAUAGUACGGGUUGAAGAGGAGAAAGGGGUUGAAGAGAGAUUAACUGAUUUUAGGAGAGAGAGAAGGAGGUGAGGUGACGGCUUAAGAGUAGUCCUC
rnacentral:lncRNA from 1 species